AUACUUACAUAUUAUAACAUACACACAACUGCAAAACAUUUUUAAGAUUACAAUGAUAUUAUUAUGUAAUAGUGUAAUACCUACUAUAAAUUUAUUUAUUUUUCAUUUUUUGGAGUUUAGAGGAACGCAAAAUUUAAUAAAGUCAAAGAUGACGAACAUAAUUUGUUUGUGGAUGAUGCUACAGGCAGUCAAGAAGAAUCGCAGAUUAUUGAUGCACUUGCCAAGCCAAAAAUAAAUAGUGAAAUUCACUUUUCUGUAGAAAAGGAAAAAUUUAAACUUGCACUAAUGAAAUCUGUUGAGGACAUUGUAUGUUCAGAAGAGUUGGAAGCUGCUAAAAAAAUAGUUGCACCUCUUCAACCCACCUUAAUGGCUUUGCGUGAUUCCAAAAAAGCGACAUUAAUUGCUAAAAGUGAUAGAAAAAUACCAAGCAAUAAAAAUAUAUGUCAGCAAAGGCGAUUAUUUAAAACAAAAAAAAAUAAGACCAGACCAAAAAAUCAAUUUUCUAAGCCCGACAGCCAUGAAGCAAUUGAGAUUGCUCUAAAUUUGUAUAUCAAAACAGAAUAAAAUAUUUUUUAAAACGAA